rnacentral:lncRNA from 1 species
GGGAGCUACCAUUUGAUUUUUAUGGAGGGGCUAGGAUGAAAAAUUUUGUCCUGCAUUUCUUUUUAGUUGUGAUCUCUGUCCUGCCUUUUUAUUUUUCACUCUAUUCGGUCCUGCCCUUUUUUUUUAUUAGUUUAUCCUGACUUUUUUUACCUAAAUUGUCAUCCUGCCUUUUUUUUUUUGCAAAGUGUCUCCUCCUGCCUUUUUUUUUACUCAAAACUCCUGUCCUGCCUAUUUUUUUCAAAUUUCAUCAGAAGGGGGACGUUAAAUCCGAUGCCUCGUGUAAAGAGAGUGCCACGCUCUUUGCACGUUAAGAACCCUUGCAACAACUCUUUGAGGGGUCCGUAGGUGGCCUGUUGCAAGGCAAAAUUUCUGUCCCUAUCCAAUAUACCCUCAUUUUCCAGUGGCAGUCCAAAUUCCCCCGACCAUCAUCCUAGAUGGCCUCUAUUACAACAACCUACCUAUUGUAUUUAUUGUGAACUUGUUCUCGUCCUGAAUAUGCAUGAAAUAUUUGCCACUGGACGUUAAGCAACCAACAAUCAAUCAAUAUUUUUUUCAAAUUUCAUCCUAGCCCCCCCCCAUAAAAAUCAAAUGGUAGCUCCCUUAU